UUGCUACUUUGCUGACGAGCGGCGGACGGGUGAGUAAUGCUUGGGAACAUGCCUUGAGGUGGGGGACAACAGUUGGAAACGACUGCUAAUACCGCAUAAUGUCUACGGACCAAAGGGGGCUUCGGCUCUCGCCUUUAGAUUGGCCCAAGUGGGAUUAGCUAGUUGGUGAGGUAAUGGCUCACCAAGGCGACGAUCCCUAGCUGGUUUGAGAGGAUGAUCAGCCACACUGGGACUGAGACACGGCCCAGACUCCUACGGGAGGCAGCAGUGGGGAAUAUUGCACAAUGGGCGCAAGCCUGAUGCAGCCAUGCCGCGUGUGUGAAGAAGGCCUUCGGGUUGUAAAGCACUUUCAGUCAGGAGGAAAGGGUGGUGGUUAAUACCCGCUAUGUGUGACGUUACUGACAGAAGAAGCACCGGCUAACUCCGUGCCAGCAGCCGCGGUAAUACGGAGGGUGCGAGCGUUAAUCGGAAUUACUGGGCGUAAAGCGUACGCAGGCGGUUUGUUAAGCGAGAUGUGAAAGCCCCG
rnacentral:rRNA from 1 species